UGGAGCAAUCCAUGAGUAAAGUGGCGACCGGGUGAGUAACACGUGACUAACCUACCUCCAAGUGGGGAAUAACUCCGGGAAACCGGGGCUAAUACCGCAUAACAUCGCAAGAUCAAAGCAGCAAUGCGCUGGGAGAGGGGGUCGCGGCUGAUUAGCUAGUUGGCGGGGUAACGGCCCACCAAGGCGAAGAUCGGUAUCCGGCCUGAGAGGGCGCACGGACACACUGGAACUGAAACACGGUCCAGACUCCUACGGGAGGCAGCAGUGGGGAAUUUUGCGCAAUGGGGGAAACCCUGACGCAGCAACGCCGCGUGGAGGAUGAAGCCCCUUGGGGCGUAAACUCCUUUCGACCAAGACGAUAAUGACGGUACUGGUGGAAGAAGCACCGGCUAACUCUGUGCCAGCAGCCGCGGUAAUACAGAGGGUGCGAGCGUUGUUCGGAAUUAUUGGGCGUAAAGGGCGCGUAGGCGGUGCCACAAGUCACUUGUGAAAUCUCCGGGCUUAACUCGGAGCCUGCAGGCGAAACUGUGGUGCUGGAGUGUGGGAGAGGUGCGUGGAAUUCCCGGUGUAGCGGUGAAAUGCGUAGAUAUCGGGAGGAACACCUGUGGCGAAAGCGGCGCACUGGACCAUAACUGACGCUGAGGCGCGAAAGCUAGGGGAGCAAACAGGAUUAGAUACCCUGGUAGUCCUAGCCCUAAACGAUGAUUGCUUGGUGUAGCGGGUACCCAAUCCUGCUGUGCCGCAGCUAACGCGAUAAGCAAUCCGCCUGGGGAGUACGGUCGCAAGGCUGAAACUC
rnacentral:rRNA from 1 species